CCGCAGCCGCCAAGCGGCGGCAUGCGUAUAACGAGAAUAUGAGAAAUUCCUCUUUGACUGGCCAAUAGCGAUAUUGGCCAUUUUUUU
rfam:Serratia marcescens FGI94, complete genome.